rnacentral:lncRNA from 1 species
AGGAAGAGUCCUUCUAUAGAUUAAACACUUCCUAUUCCAUGCCUUGCUCUUGGGAUUGCAUGCUAAAAAUUUAUGUUGUGGCAUGUAUGAAUUAAGGAACGCCAAGAGUUGGCAUCCCAUGGUGUCGCCCCUUCUUUCCUAUAAAUAGGGGGCGCUACACCUGGUUUAGUAUGCCAAUUUUAGCUGAGAGUAGGCAUGAAAAUGAGAAGAAAAUGAUGGAAAAAAGUCUGGAAAAAAGAUAAGAAAAAGGGAGAGAAAAAUAGAAAG